rnacentral:rRNA from 1 species
CUCAAGAUAAGCCAUGCAUGUCUAAGUAUAAGCAUUAUACAGCGAAACUGCGAAUGGCUCAUUAUAUAAGUUAUCGUUUAUUUGAUAGUACCUUACUACUUGGAUAACCGUGGUAAUUCUAGAGCUAAUACAUGCUAAAAAUCCCGACUCCGGAAGGGAUGUAUUUAUUAGAUUAAAAACCAAUGCCCUCUGGGCUCCUUGGUGAUUCAUAAUAACUUUUCGAAUCGCAUGGCCUUGCGCCGGCGAUGGUUCAUUCAAAUUUCUUCCCUAUCAACUUUCGAUGUUUGGGUAUUGGCCAAACAUGGUCGCAACGGGUAACGGAGGGUUAGGGCUCGACCCCGGAGAAGGAGCCUGAGAAACGGCUACUACAUCCAAGGAAGGCAGCAGGCGCGCAAAUUACCCAAUCCCGAUUCGGGGAGGUAGUGACAAUAAAUACUGAUACAGGGCUCUUUUGGGUCUUGUAAUUGGAAUGAGUACAAUUUAAAUCCCUUAACGAGGAACAAUUGGAGGGCAAGUCUGGUGCCAGCAGCCGCGGUAAUUCCAGCUCCAAUAGCGUAUAUUAAAGUUGUUGUGGUUAAAAAGCUCGUAGUUGAACCUUGGGCCUGGCUGGCCGGUCCGCCUCACCGCGUGCACUGGUCCGGCCGGGCCUUUCCCUCUGUGGAACCCCAUGCCCUUCACUGGGUGUGGCGGGGAAACAGGACUUUUACUUUGAAAAAAUUAGAGUGCUCCAGGCAGGCCUAUGCUCGAAUACAUUAGCAUGGAAUAAUGAAAUAGGACGUGUGGUUCUAUUUUGUUGGUUUCUAGGACCGCCGUAAUGAUUAAUAGGGACAGUCGGGGGCAUCAGUAUUCAAUUGUCAGAGGUGAAAUUCUUGGAUUUAUUGAAGACUAACUACUGCGAAAGCAUUUGCCAAGGAUGUUUUCAUUAAUCAGGAACGAAAGUUAGGGGAUCGAAGACGAUCAGAUACCGUCGUAGUCUUAACCAUAAACUAUGCCGACUAGGGAUCGGACGAUGUUAUUUUUUGACGCGUUCGGCACCUUACGAGAAAUCAAAGUGCUUGGGCUCCAGGGGGAGUAUGGUCGCAG